GUGGUGGCUCAGAGGCAGAGUGCUUUCCUGGCAUGUGUGAGGCCCUGAGUUCAAUUCUCAGCACCACA
rnacentral:tRNA from 1 species